CGAGAAGUUGAACUUGAAUCCUAACUUCAUUAGUAUUUUCUCUGAUAGCAUAAUUUUUAAUUUUGUAAAUAUGCAUUAAAGAUGACCUUUAAGCGAAAAUCUAAAAGGAAAGGGAGGAAAAAUGUUAAUUAUACUGAUAUGAGCUCCAAUUGUGAAAGUGAUGAUGAUUUUGAAGUUGAUUUUGAACCACAAACAAAGAAGGCGAAGC